UACGUAGGGGGCAAGCGUUGUCCGGAUUCAUUGGGCGUAAAGAGCGUGUAGGCGGCCAGGUAGGUCGGUUGUGAAAACUGGAGGCUCAACCUUCAGAGGUCGACCGAAACCAUCUGGCUAGAGUCCGGGAGAGGAGACUGGAAUUCCUGGUGUAGCGGUGAAAUGCGCAGAUAUCAGGAGGAACACCGGUGGCGAAGGCGGUUCUCUGGGCAUUACCUGACGCUGAGGAGCGAAAGUGUGGGGAGCGAACAGG
rnacentral:rRNA from 1 species